GACGAACCGUGCGAACGUUAUUCGGAAUCACCGGGCUUAAAGCGCGUGUAGGCGGGCCGCCACGUCGGGCGCUGAAAUCCCCCGGCUCAACCGGGGAACGGGCACCGAUACGAGCGGCCUGGAGGGGAGUAGGGGGACCUGGAACUUCCGGUGGAGCGGUGAAAUGCGUUGAGAUCGGAAGGAACGCCCGUGGCGAAAGCGAGGUCCUGGGCUCCUGCUGACGCUGAGACGCGAAAGCCAGGGGAGCGAACGGG
rnacentral:rRNA from 1 species